AACUUUUGACAACGGAUCUCUUGGCUCUCGCAACGAUGAAGAACGCAGCGAAAUGCGAUAAGUAAUGUGAAUUGCAGAAUUCAGUGAAUCAUCGAAUCUUUGAACGCACAUUGCGCUCCCUGGUAUUCCGGAGAGCAUGCCUGUUUGAGAAUCAGUAAAUUCAUCAACCCAAGGUUCUUGGAACUUAUUCUGAGAGCUAAAAGGUUGGAUCUGGGCCAUUUGCUGCUUAGGCAGCAAUAGCCUGAAAUUGAAUGUUACGCUCCUGUGGACUGAGAAGUCUUGGGCAAACGCAUGAAUGAGGUAACUCAGAAGUACGUGAGCCUUUGAGAACGAUCAAUCCUUAGUUGGGUAACUCAACUGAUUAACCAGAGUUUGUUGGCAUUAGCCGGCUUAUUCUGAACACUUGGUCUCAAAUCAGGUAGGAAAACCCGCUGAACUUAAGCAUAUCAAUAAGCGGAGGAAAAGAAACUAACAAGGAUUCCCCUAGUAACGGCGAGUGAAGCGGGAACAGCUCAAAUUUGAAAUCUCACAGGGUUACCUGUGCGAAUUGUAGUUUAUAGAAACGUUUUCGGGGGUGGCCCUGGCAUAAGUCCUUUGGAAUGAGGCAUCAUAGAGGGUGAGAAUCCCGUUUAUGGUCAGGUGUCCGCUCCUAUGUGAUACGUUUUCUAAGAGUCGGUUUGUUUGGGAAUGCAGACCAAAAUGGGUGGUAAAUACCAUCUAAAGCUAAAUAUUGGCGAGAGACCGAUAGCGAACAAGUACCGUGAGGGAAAGAUGAAAAGAACUUUGAAAAGAGAGUUAAAAGUACGUGAAAUUGUCAAAAGGGAA
rnacentral:misc_RNA from 1 species